GAUGAAGAACGUAGCGAAAUGCGAUACGUAAUGUGAAUUGCAGAAUUCAGUGAAUCAUCGAGUCUUUGAACGCACAUUGCGCCCCCUGGUAUUCCGGGGGGCAUGCCUGUCCGAGCGUCAUUGCUGCCCUCAAGCACGGCUUGUGUGUUGGGCCUCCGCCCCCCGGCUCCCGGGGGGCGGGCCCGAAAGGCAGCGGCGGCACCGCGUCCGGUCCUCGAGCGUAUGGGGCUUCGUCACCCGCUCCGUAGGCCCGGCCGGCGCCCGUCGGCGACCCCCCUCAAUCUUUCCAGGUUGACCUCGGAUCAGGUAGGGAUACCCGCUGAACUUAAGCAUAUCAAUAAGCGGAGGA
rnacentral:misc_RNA from 1 species